CACUUCCAUUUAUGACCUGUAAUUUAACACAGCGGAGAUAUCACUUGCAAUAGUAACUAGGCAGCUGCUUUAUUUCUCAUAGGAAGUAGCCCCUCUCUGUUCUCUAUCUAGUCCUGUGAGAGAUCCAGGAGUUGCAAGCCCUCCUGCCUGGGGGUGAAAGGUGCCACACUUCAUGGUUUGCUCUAUUCCUUGGUGUCAUCAUUGUGACCUCGCAUCUGAGCUGUGAGGUUCAGGACUGUGAUUCUGCCACUCAUCCUUUUGCAGUUCUGCAGAAAGGGACUGAUGUGCACCUGUGCUUUGUAGCAGGAAAUGACUCAAGGAGAGGAAGAAGCUGAAUUCCCCAACAAGGAACAGGGGCUGGAGGACUAAUACAAUAACCAGUGAAUUGUGAUAGACUGUGCAAUGGGAACUGGUCAUCUCAACUCUCUUCCUAUUUUAUUGGUGUUAUCUUACUCUGGGUAAAUCAUCAAAAUAAUAAGAGCUGGAGUUACAGGCUGGUGAGCUGCCACACAGGUCCUCUGCAAGAGCAGACUGAACCUAAUCAAUGAGAACUUUUCUACUUUCACCUCUUCCCCACUGCCCUCUAGCUGCCCUAAGCUAGAGGAAAUGUUUGCUUUCAUAUAGCAUUUCAUCUCUAAAAUUACUUAGCUGUGCAUUCUUCCUCCAAUAAAUACUUUAACUCUCCGAAAGUAGUUACCAUCAACCGGAAGCCAGCACAGAAACAUGUGAUGAAAUUAAAUUACAAGAAGGCUUAAAUAAAUGAAGGCCUUUUAGCAAAAAUCAUGUACACUUCUGUACAAAUCUAUGUGUAUACAUAAAAGACAUGUAGCAGGCCAGCUGUGAGGAUACAGGCCUGGGGAACCUGAAAAGAGUAAGUAGGAUGGCCAUAGCUCCUGGCCAGCUGGAGCUACACAUACAGGAGUAUACAUGACUUUUCCUCAGAUGAUCCUAUUAGAUCAAAUGAAUCAGUACAAUCUUGUGAAACAUAAUAAACUGGAAGGAAGAACUCAACCUCGAGGAGCUUUGUUCCUCCAGAAAGAAUAACCACCUGAGAUAUCUUCCUCAGAAGCUGGCUUCCAGAAAAAGCUUAAGCUCAUCCUCAACUUCUGUAUCUACGGAUUCUGCAAAUGUCCAACUUUUAAAAUACAAAUCAAUGCAAGGGCAAGGGGAAAGAGUUCUGACUGUAGUAGCAACAAUGCAGAGCUAACUAAAUCAGGAAGGACCUCCCUGUAAAAAUGUAGCUACAGUACUCAGAUGAGUUGGGGUUUUAGUGUAGUCUUCCU